rnacentral:misc_RNA from 1 species
CCACUUUCCUCUGAGAUGGAAGCCAAAGAUCCAAGGAGUUGUUCCUGCCAUCAAUGUACACAACCUCACUCUGGGGAGGUGCAAACAAUGUAUUACUUUAGAGGAAACUGUGGGGUCAUUUUUAAUGUUAAUGAGUUUGCGGGAGUUCCUCCUUGAAUUAGUGGACUGCACUUUCUACUACUUCCACAUAAUUGCUGCGCCAUUUUCUAAACUAUGGAUUGAAUUCAAGUCCAUCACGGUCCCUGAUCAAAAGGAAUACUUUCCAAUUGUUAAAUAAUAUCAAAAAAAUUGUAUUAAGUUGCAUGAAUACUUUGUUUAAGUUUCCCACUUUGAAAAACACAUCCACUUGGGUAAGGGUCUUCAAACAACACAAGUUCCAUCUUGAUUCAAAUUCCACUCUGUGCGGUGCUGUCGCUCACUCGAGUUAGCUUCACCACAGAUGCAUAACUGAAAGCCUAAAUCUCAGCAGAAAAGGAAAUUGCUGUCAACAGGAAGGAGUUGUCAAAGAGAUUUGCGAUCCCAUUACGCCAGUUUAGAGUCAGGUCGUAUAUUGAGCAGACUUUUGGAAUUGCAAAGAGGAGGUUUGCCCUGAUGAAGACAGAUACUAGGGUUUGUUCCAUGCGAAAGGCAGCUAGUGAAAUUCUGGUAUGCUGUGUUCUCUACAAUUAUGGAAUUGAUGAAGGUGACUUGAUGCCUGAGGAGGAUGCCAAUGCCAUGGACAACCAAGAUAGCAACCUCCAGCUGGAUAAAAGAGGGCAAGGAACAGACACAGCUCUUGGACAAGCCGUGUGGGACCGCAUGGCGGUGUCCAUCCACCGACAAAGACACCACAGGCAACUGCAUAUAGAUGCAUAAUGGAAAUGUGAUAAUAACACAAGCAAGAGGAACAAGAGGACAAGGGAGAGGAAGAGGAGGAGAAAGAGGAAGGGAGGAGAAAGAGGAAGAAGAGGAGAAAGAG